rfam:Kangiella koreensis DSM 16069, complete genome.
GCCGAUAUAGCUCAGUAGGUAGAGCACUCCCUUGGUAAGGGAGAGGUCAGCAGUUCAAAUCUGCUUAUCGGCA